rnacentral:lncRNA from 1 species
GUUGUGGGCCCUAUAGUAACACCCCAAUGGGGUCGGGGGGGUUGUGGGCCCUAUAGUAACACCCCGGGGGGGGGUUGUGCCCCCCCCUAUGGCUGUCCCUGAUAAGCAGCACUUCGAGGAAGGGCACGUCACCUUCCUUUCACCCCAGGGGGGGGGGGCAAAAAGGGGUGGGGGCCCCCCCAGAUCCCUUUAACACCCCCCCACCCCAAACCCCACCUCAACCUGCUCCCCCCCCCCACAAUUAAAACCCAUUAUAAGUUGGGGGGGGGGGGAGUAAAGCAAUGGGGGGGGCACCCCUUGUUGUGUGUGUGUCCUGUGCCCCCCCCCCACCCCCUUCUAUGCCCAACCGCCUCCCGCCCGCUAUCAGAUAAGGCCUUAUCAGUGCCCUACAGCCCCGGGGCCGUUACCCAAAGGGAGUAAAGGGGGGGGGGACCCCAAAGUGCCCGCCCCCCCCACCCCAAAAAAAAGGGAGGGGGGGGGUCUUGGAUGGGGGGGGGCACAGCCCCUCCCUACAGGCGGGGCUGCGUCCGUCUGUCCGUCCGUGAGAGCGGGGUGACACACGGCUGCAGCCCCCCCCCCCCCCCUUAUGGAGUUUGUGGCGCUGGGGGGGCCGGACGCGGGUUCCCCCCCUCCAUUCCCUGAUGAAGCCGGAGCCUUUUUGGGGCUGGGGGGGGGCGAGGGGACGGAGGCGGGGGGGCUGCUGGCCUCAUACCCCCCCUCAGCAGUGGACCCCCAGCAUGCGGUGAGUGGGGGGGGGGGACUGGGAGCAAUGGGAGGGAAUGGGGGGAAUCUGGGAUGGGGGGUGGGGGCACUGGGUGGGACUGGGAAGGGGGUGGGGGGACUGGGAAGGGGGUGGCCAAUACUGGUGUAUACUGGCCCAUACUGGCUCAUACUGGUCCAUACUGGUCCAUACUGGCCCAUACUGGUUUAUACUGGUCCAUACUGGUGUAUACUGGCCCAUACUGGUGUAUACGGGCCCAUACUGGUGUAUACUGGUUCAUUCUGGUGUAUACUGGCCCAUACUGGUUUAUACUGGCCCAUACUGGUGUAUACUGGUCCAUACAGGUGUAUACUGGUCCAUACUGGUGUAUACUGGCCCACACUGGUGUAUACGGGUCCAUACUGGUGUAUACUGGCCCAUACUGGUGUAUGCUGGUCCAUACUGGUGUAUACUGGCCCAUACUGGUGUAUACUGGCCCAUACUGGUGUAUACUGGCCCAUACUGGUGUAUACGGGUCCAUACUGGUGUAUACCGGUCCAUACUGGUGUAUACUGGUCCAUACUGGUGUAUACUGGUUUGUUCUGGUGUAUACUGGCCCAUACAGGUGUAUACUGGUUCAUUCUGGUGUAUACGGGUCCAUACUGGUGUAUACUGGUUCAUUCUGGUGUAUGCUGGUCCAUACUGGCGUAUACUGGCACAUACUGGUAUAUACUGGUUCAUUCUGGUGUAUACUGGUCCACACUGGUGUAUACUGGAUCGUAUUAGUGUAUAUGGCUUCAUAUAGGUGUAUGCUGGUCCAUACUGGUGUAUACUGGCCCAUAAUGGUGUAUACUGGUCCAUACUGGCGUAUACUGGUCCAUACUGGGAGGAGACACUGGAAUACAAACAGCUUAUAGACACACUAUAGGAGCAUCCUAUAGGAGGGGGGGGGGGAGGGAUUUAUGGUGGUUUGUAGCGGUCCAUACUGGUCUAUACUGGUCUAUACUGGUCUAUACUGGUCCUUACUGGUCCUUACUGGUCCUUACUGGUCUAUACUGGUCUAUACUGGCCCAUACUGAUCCAUACUGGUCUAUACUGGUCCAUACUGGUCUAUACUGGCCCAUACUGGUCUAUACUGGUCCUUACUGGCCCAUACUGGUCUAUACUGGUCCUUACUGGUCUAUACUGGUCUAUACUGGUCAGAGGCCCGUGAAUGCGUCAACUGCGGGGCCAUGUCCACCCCGCUCUGGAGGAGGGAUGGCACCGGGCACUACCUGUGCAACGCCUGCGGGCUCUACCACAAAAUGAACGGUCAAAACCGACCUCUGAUCCGCCCCAAAAAGCGCCUGGUGAGCCCCAAAACCACGACCCCCCCCACUAGGAGACCCCCCCCCAUCCCACAACCCCCCUGUACGCCCCCCCAAAAGCACCCUAAAAUCCCUAAUAUCACCCCAAAAUCAACCCCCCCCCCCAUCGCGCUCAAUGCAUCCCCAUCUCUACCCCCUUACCCUGUGUGCUCACAGACAGCCCCAUAUCUGCCCCAAAAAGCGCCUGGUGAGCCCCAAAACCACGGCCCCCCCCCACUAGGAGACCCCCCCCAUCCAACAACCCCCCUGUACGCCCCUUCAAAAGCACCCUAAAA